UGGGGAAUAUUGCACAAUGGGCGCAAGCCUGAUGCAGCCAUGCCGCGUGUAUGAAGAAGGCCUUCGGGUUGUAAAGUACUUUCAGCGGGGAGGAAGGCGAUAAGGUUAAUAACCUUGUCGAUUGACGUUACCCGCAGAAGAAGCACCGGCUAACUCCGUGCCAGCAGCCGCGGUAAUACGGAGGGUGCAAGCGUUAAUCGGAAUUACUGGGCGUAAAGCGCACGCAGGCGGUCUGUCAAGUCGGAGGUGAAAUCCCCGGGCUCAACCUGGGAACUGCGUUCGAAACUGGCAGGCUAGAGUCUUGUAGAGGGGGGUAGAAUUCCAGGUGUAGCGGUGAAAUGCGUAGAGAUCUGGAGGAAUACCGGUGGCGAAGGCGGCCCCCUGGACAAAGACUGACGCUCAGGUGCGAAAGCGUGGGGAGCAAACA
rnacentral:rRNA from 1 species